CCUACGGGAGGCAGCAGUGGGGAAUAUUGCACAAUGGGCGCAAGCCUGAUGCAGCAACGCCGCGUGAGGGACGACGGCCUUCGGGUUGUAAACCUCUUUUAGCAGGGAAGAAGCGAAAGUGACGGUACCUGCAGAAAAAAGCACCGGCUAACUACGUGCCAGCAGCCGGCGGUAAUACGUAGGGUGCAAGCGUUAUCCGGAAUUAUUGGGCGUAAAGAGCUCGUAGGCGGUUUGUCGCGUCUGCUGUGAAAACCUGGGGGGCUCAACCCCCAGCCUGCAGUGGGUACGGGCAGACUAGAGUGCGGUAGGGGAGAUUGGAAUUCCUGGUGUAGCGGUGGAAUGCGCAGAUAUCAGGAGGAACACCGAUGGCGAAGGCAGAUCUCUGGGCCGUAACUGACGCUGAGGAGCGAAAGGGUGGGGAAGCAAACAGGCUUAGAUACCCUGGUAGUCCACCCCGUAAACGUUGGGAACUAGUUGUGGGGUCCAUUCCGACGGAUUCCGUGACGCAGCUAACGCAUUAAGUUCCCGCCUGGGGAUCGGCCGCGAAGGCUAAAACGUCAAAUGAAUUGAACGGCUGNGAGUGCGAGCGCGACGAGGAGAGG
rnacentral:rRNA from 1 species